rnacentral:miRNA from 15 species
AGGACGGUAUUUGUGUCAAUAUG